rnacentral:lncRNA from 1 species
CUCAUCUAUUAGAUAGAUAGAGCAUAAAACUAGAUUUUCACCCGUGCGAUGCACGGCUAAUAUAAUAAUAUAGAAUAAUAAAAAUUAUUAUGUGAUGAUAACAAAAAGAUUUUCUAAUUAAUUUUAUAUUUUUUAACAAAUAAAAAAAUAUAUUAUCAAUCUUAAUUAUAGUACAUAUUAAAGUACACAAGCUAGAGAAAAAAAAAUUUGGACCAAAGUAAAUAUUUAACUAAAAUGCAAAAUUCAAUCAUACUCUAUUAUCUAUGAAUUGGUGUGCAAAAUAAUUUACAUUUACAUAUUGAUGUGCAAAAUAAAAUGAUAACUAAAAUUGAUAUGAAAAAUUACAAAUGACAUUAAUAUUUAAGCAUAUAAUGAGAUCAACUAAACUUUCAUAUUUGACACAAAUUAGAGUAAGCACACAUAUAUUAUGUUCCUACUGUCACUUUUAAGAUUCAAAAAUAUAUAGAUGUUGGUUUUCAAGAAAAUAUAAAGAAAAAAAACUUUGUUGCAUGAAGAUGAAAAGUUACAGGAGUGACAGUAGGGAAAAAAAUUACGAAAUGAAAAUUACAGAAGUGACAGUAGGGAAAUAAUAUGUUCUAUUUUAAAGCAUCAAUAUUUAAGAGCGAAGGAAAUUACAGGAGUGAUGUGAGUUUUAAAUUUUUGCAUCUUUCCAAAAAUGCCUCUAUCCUUUUUUACUAAUAUUUUUAUGUCCAGAAAUUUUCAACUAAUCAUUUCAAAUAAUUAACUAAGUAAUAAUUUAUUCCCAAAUAAAGAUAAAUAUUUUCUUUCUCACACGUAAUAUCCGCACCACCAAUUCUUUCGCAACAUAAUAUCCAUAAAUUUCUCAAAUAUCUCAACAUAAUUAUAGGUGACUUUGAAAUAAAUUUUUUUUAAAUAAUAUAGUAAAAUAUAUUAAUUUUUUAUAAAAGCGUGAGUUUUGAAUUUUUUCUCUUUCCAAAAAUGUCACUAUCCUUUUUUACUAAUAUUUUUAUGUCCAGAAAUUUUUAACCAAUCAUUUCAAAUAAUUAACUAAGUAGUAAUUUAUUUUCAAAUAAAGAUAAAUAUUUUUUCCUCACGCAUAAUAUCUGCACCGGCCAAUUUUUUUGUCACAUAAUAUCCGUGAAUUUUUAAAAUAUCUCGACAUAAUUAUAUGUGACUUUGAAAUAAAAUCUCCUUUAUUAUAGGUGAUUUUUAAUAAUAUA